UCUUAUGUUGGCUGUCCACAUGUUUAAAAAGCAUGUGUUAGCAAGGGCUGGGCAAGACCGGUGCCAGCCGCCGCGGUAACACCGGCAGCCCGAGUGGUGAUCACUAUUAUUGGGUCUAAAGGGUCCGUAGCCGGUUUGAUCAGUCUUUUGGGAAAUCUGACAGCUUAACUGUUAGGCUUCCAAAGGAUACUGUCAGACUUGGGACCGGGAGAGGUAAGAGGUACUACAGGGGUAGGAGUGAAAUCUUGUAAUCCCUGUGGGACCACCAGUGGCGAAGGCGUCUUACCAGAACGGGUCCGACGGUGAGGGACGAAAGCUGGGGGCACGAACCGGAUUAGAUACCCGGGUAGUCCCAGCCGUAAACGAUGCUCGCUAGGUGUCAGGAAUGGUGCGACCGUUUCUGGUGCCGUAGGGAAGCCGUGAAGCGAGCCACCUGGGAAGUACGGCCGCAAGGCUGAAACUUAAAGGAAUUGGCGGGGGAGCACUACAACGGGUGGAGCCUGCGGUUUAAUUGGACUCAACGCCGGAAAACUCACCGGGGGCGACAGCAAUAUGUAGGUCAGGCUAAAGACCUUACCCGAAUCGCUGAGAGGAGGUGCAUGGCCGUCGUCAGUUCGUACUGUGAAGCAU
rnacentral:rRNA from 1 species